GAUGAACGCUGGCGGCGUGCCUAAUACAUGCAAGUCGAGCGAAUGGAUUAAGAGCUUGCUCUUAUGAAGUUAGCGGCGGACGGGUGAGUAACACGUGGGUAACCUGCCCAUAAGACUGGGAUAACUCCGGGAAACCGGGGCGAAUACCGGAUAACAUUUUGAACCGCAUGGUUCGAAAUUGAAACGCGGCUUCGGCUGUCACUUAUGGAUGUACCAGCGUCGCCUUGGCUAGUUGGUGAGGUAACGGCUCACCAAGGCAACGAUGCGUAGCCGACCUGAGAGGGUGAUCGGCCACACUGGGACUGAGACACGGCCCAGACUCCUACGGGAGGCAGCAGUAGGGAAUCUUCCGCAAUGGACGAAAGUCUGACGGAGCAACGCCGCGUGAGUGAUGAAGGCUUUCGGGUCGUAAAACUCUGUUGUUAGGGAAGAACAAGUGCUAGUUGAAUAAGCUGGCACCUUGACGGUACCUAACCAGAAAGCCACGGCUAACUACGUGCCAGCCGCCGCCGUAA
rnacentral:rRNA from 1 species